GAAAGGGCUUCAAUACUUUGGCUAAUCGUCGAGUUUCAGUUUGAUAUUGGUAUAUGUUUUCUGUACGCAUGAUUGCGUUAAGAAAUGAUGUAUAGUCUUUGAGAUUAUCUUCAUGAUUGUCUCGAUAUGUUGCUAGCGUUUACACGAAUUUUAGAUUGUCGUUUGCCUAUUUGAGACGAUUUGCUUUGACAAAAUCGUUUUCUUGACGAUUUGCAAAAGUUUUUGAAGUUUAGGAGUAUACGAGUAUAGUAUACGUACCUACUCCCCUUUUUUUUUU
rnacentral:lncRNA from 1 species